CCUACGGGGGCUGCAGUGGGGAAUAUUGGACAAUGGGCGAAAGCCUGAUCCAGCCAUGCCGCGUGUGUGAAGAAGGCCUUCGGGUUGUAAAGCACUUUCAGUGGGGAAGAAAGCCUUGGGGCUAAUACCCUCGAGGAAGGACAUCACCCACAGAAGAAGCACCGGCUAACUCCGUGCCAGCAGCCGCGGUAAUACGGAGGGUGCGAGGCGUUAAUCGGAAUUACUGGGCGUAAAGCGCGCGUAGGCGGUCUGAUAAGCCGGUUGUGAAAGCCCCGGGCUCAACCUGGGAACGGCAUCCGGAACUGUCAGGCUAGAGUGCAGGAGAGGAAGGUAGAAUUCCCGGUGUAGCGGUGAAAUGCGUAGAGAUCGGGAGGAAUACCAGUGGCGAAGGCGGCCUUCUGGACUGACACUGACGCUGAGGUGCGAAAGCGUGGGUAGCAAACAGGAUUAGAUACCCCAGUAGUC
rnacentral:rRNA from 1 species